rnacentral:rRNA from 1 species
GACGAACGCUGGCGGCGUGCUUAACACAUGCAAGUCGAACGGAAAGGCCUCUUCGGAGGUACUCGAGUGGCGAACGGGUGAGUAACACGUGGGCAAUCUGCCCUGCACUUCGGGAUAAGCCCGGGAAACUGGGUCUAAUACCGGAUAGGACCUUUAGGCGCAUGUCUUUUGGUGGAAAGCUUUUGCGGUGUGGGAUGGGCCCGCGGCCUAUCAGCUUGUUGGUGGGGUGAUGGCCUACCAAGGCGACGACGGGUAGCCGGCCUGAGAGGGUGUCCGGCCACACUGGGACUGAGAUACGGCCCAGACUCCUACGGGAGGCAGCAGUGGGGAAUAUUGCACAAUGGGCGCAAGCCUGAUGCAGCGACGCCGCGUGGGGGAUGACGGCCUUCGGGUUGUAAACCUCUUUCACCAUCGACGAAGGUCCGGGUUUUCUCGGAUUGACGGUAGGUGGAGAAGAAGCACCGGCCAACUACGUGCCAGCAGCCGCGGUAAUACGUAGGGUGCGAGCGUUGUCCGGAAUUACUGGGCGUAAAGAGCUCGUAGGUGGU